GUCCACACCGUAAACGUUGGGCGCUAGGUGUGGGAUCCAUUCCACGGGUUCCGUGCCGCAGCUAACGCAUUAAGCGCCCCGCCUGGGGAGUACGGCCGCAAGGCUAAAACUCAAAGGAAUUGACGGGGGCCCGCACAAGCGGCGGAGCAUGCGGAUUAAUUCGAUGCAACGCGAAGAACCUUACCUGGGUUUGACAUGGGAAGUUAACCAUCAGAGAUGGUGGGUCCGUUAGGGUUUCUCACAGGUGGUGCAUGGCUGUCGU
rnacentral:rRNA from 1 species